rnacentral:rRNA from 1 species
UGAGGAAUAUUGGUCAAUGGGCGCGAGCCUGAACCAGCCAAGUAGCGUGAAGGAUGAAGGUCCUAUGGAUUGUAAACUUCUUUUAUACGGGAAUAAAGUGGUCCACGUGUGGGCUUUUGCAUGUACCGUAUGAAUAAGCAUCGGCUAACUCCGUGCCAGCAGCCGCGGUAAUACGGAGGAUGCGAGCGUUAUCCGGAUUUAUUGGGUUUAAAGGGAGCGCAGACGGGGGAUUAAGUCAGUUGUGAAAGUUUGCGGCUCAACCGUAAAAUUGCAGUUGAUACUGGUUCCCUUGAGUGCAGUUGAGGCAGGCGGAAUUCGUGGUGUAGCGGUGAAAUGCAUAGAUAUCACGAAGAACCCCGAUUGCGAAGGCAGCCUGCUAAGCUGUAACUGACGUUGAGGCUCGAAAGUGUGGGUAUCAAACAGGAUUAGAUACCCUGGUAGUCCACACGGUAAACGAUGGAUGCCCGCCGUUGGGAUUUAGAUUUCAGCGGCCAAGCGAAAGCGUUAAGCAUCCCACCUGGGGAGUACGCCGGCAACGGUGAAACUCAAAGGAAUUGACGGGGGCCCGCACAAGCGGAGGAACAUGUGGUUUAAUUCGAUGAUACGCGAGGAACCUUACCCGGGCUUGAAUUGCAGGAGAACGAUCCAGAGAUGGUGAGGCCCUUCGGGGCUCCUGUGAAGGUGCUGCAUGGUUGUCGUCAGCUCGUGCCGUGAGGUGUCGGCUUAAGUGCCAUAACGAGCGCAACCCUCGUGGCCAGUUACUAGCAGGUAACGCUGAGGACUCUGGCCAGACUGCCAUCGCAAGAUGCGAGGAAGGUGGGGAUGACGUCAAAUCAGCACGGCCCUUACGUCCGGGGCUACACACGUGUUACAAUGGGAGGUACAGAAGGCAGCUACCCGGCGACGGGAUGCCAAUCUCCAAAGCCUCUCUCAGUUCGGACUGGAGUCUGCAACCCGACUCCACGAAGCUGGAUUCGCUAGUAAUCGCAGAUCAGCAUGCUGCGGUGAAUACGUUCCC